GGGGCAUAGCUCAGCUGGUUAGAGCGCUCGCUUCACAUGCGAGAGGUCGGGGGUUCAAGUCCCUCUGCCCC
rnacentral:tRNA from 1 species